AGAGUUUGAUCCUGGCUCAGGACGAACGCUGGCGGCGCGCCUAACACAUGCAAGUCGAACGAGCGAGAGAGAGCUUGCUUUCUCGAGCGAGUGGCGAACGGGUGAGUAACGCGUGAGGAACCUGCCUCAAAGAGGGGGACAACAGUUGGAAACGACUGCUAAUACCGCAUAAGCCCACGGGUCGGCAUCGACCAGAGGGAAAAGGAGCAAUCCGCUUUGAGAUGGCCUCGCGUCCGAUUAGCUAGUUGGUGAGGUAAUGGCCCACCAAGGCGACGAUCGGUAGCCGGACUGAGAGGUUGAACGGCCACAUUGGGACUGAGACACGGCCCAGACUCCUACGGGAGGCAGCAGUGGGGAAUAUUGCACAAUGGGGGAAACCCUGAUGCAGCGACGCCGCGUGGAGGAAGAAGGUCUUCGGAUUGUAAACUCCUGUUGUUGAGGAAGAUAAUGACGGUACUCAACAAGGAAGUGACGGCUAACUACGUGCCAGCAGCCGCGGUAAAACGUAGGUCACAAGCGUUGUCCGGAAUUACUGGGUGUAAAGGGAGCGCAGGCGGGAAGACAAGUUGGAAGUGAAAUCUAUGGGCUCAACCCAUAAACUGCUUUCAAAACUGUUUUUCUUGAGUAGUGCAGAGGUAGGCGGAAUUCCCGGUGUAGCGGUGGAAUGCGUAGAUAUCGGGAGGAACACCAGUGGCGAAGGCGGCCUACUGGGCACCAACUGACGCUGAGGCUCGAAAGUGUGGGUAGCAAACAGGAUUAGAUACCCUGGUAGUCCACACCGUAAACGAUGAUUACUAGGUGUUGGAGGAUUGACCCCUUCAGUGCCGCAGUUAACACAAUAAGUAAUCCACCUGGGGAGUACGACCGCAAGGUUGAAACUCAAAGGAAUUGACGGGGGCCCGCACAAGCAGUGGAGUAUGUGGUUUAAUUCGACGCAACGCGAAGAACCUUACCAAGUCUUGACAUCCUGCGACGAUGCUGGAAACAGUGUUUUCCUUCGGGACGCAGAGACAGGUGGUGCAUGGUUGUCGUCAGCUCGUGUCGUGAGAUGUUGGGUUAAGUCC
rnacentral:rRNA from 1 species